rnacentral:rRNA from 1 species
UACGUAGGGGGCUAGCGUUGUCCGGAAUCAUUGGGCGUAAAGAGCGCGCAGGCGGCUUGGCAAGUCGGGUGUGAAAUCCCGGGGCUCAACCCCGGGACUGCAUUCGAUACUGUCAGGCUAGAGGUAGGUAGGGGAGAUCGGAAUUCCUGGUGUAGCGGUGAAAUGCGCAGAUAUCAGGAGGAACACCUAUUGCGAAGGCAGCUCGCUGGGACGUAACUGACGCUGAGACGCGAAAGCGUGGGGAGCAAACAGG